AUAUGCCUGCCUUGUUCGUGAUAAUAAGGAGGGAAACUUGUUCCGACAAUUAUUAAAUUAUGGGAGUCAGCGUAAGGAAAGUGUGAGCGUCCCGAGAAAUUGGGAGAAUAAGCCUAAUCUUACCUUCAAGACACCCACCUGUAAAUACAGGGCGACAAGUUUUACCUCAACACGGCAAGGUGGGUCAAAA
rnacentral:other from 1 species